GGCAGCUACGCGUUUGCCCGACCUCUUUAUAUACGCCUCACAACAUAAUCUCUCAAUACUGUCAAUUUGAGAAAACCCUUAAGAGCUUAAGCAAAAAAUUCGAAUCAAUCAAAAGCCCUAGCCCCUCUUUUCUCAACACUCUCUGAAAUGGCGAUCUCUAAGGCUACCAUUGUUGCUCUCGUCGCGGUGAUCGUCUCCGUUGUUUCUACCGUCGCUUCCGCUCAGUCUGAGGCUCCGGCGCCAAGCCCAGUUUCUGGAUCCGGUGCCUUCUCGCCGUCCCUGGUCUCUGCUGGUGUCGCAGCCGUCGCGGCUCUUGUUUUCGGCUCUGCUCUUCGGAUCUAAGUCUUUGUGAUGGCGAUUCGUACAGAGAUUGUUUUGGAGUUUAUAUCCGGUAUAGCAUUCGUGUGUAUUCAGAAGCUAUAGAUCUCUUUUCUAUUUGGCUCUUGUUUUCUAUCUACCUUCAUAUCUAUAUGAGGAUGUAUCUCUUAGAGUAUUGUGGUUUGUCAUUUCUAGAUGCGAUAUGGUUUUUUUGAUGUGAUAUGAUUCUAUUCUAUUUAUUUAUGGAUGUUUCUCAGAUUUCUCUCUUCUCGUUCUUUACUUCUGCUUCUGCUACGAUACAAGCUUGUUAGCAUGUUAGAUCAGUGUCAAACGCGUUAAAAAUUGAAUCAUUUCAGCUCAAAUUGAAUCAGAAUUUUGAUUGUAACAAUUACUUAGAUUAAUUUCAUCAACUUAAAUUUUGGAGGAAACUGAAUCUGAAUGCAAACUAAACUCGUACGUCAUAUCAAGCUGGUCCAAAUCAAAGAUAAUACUAAGGAAAUCUAAAAACUGAAAAGCCUAAAACAAAAGUUAGCAUUUUUAUACAUUGCUUCAACAGAGGCUGAUUAGUAUCUCCGGUAUAAAACUUUUGAAUUGCAUUAUAGAAUUUCAGAAUUAAUCAGUAAUGAAACUAAAGUCCAAAGUGCCCGUUUCUCCAUUUUUCUUAAAAAAGAAAAGUGAAAAGUUCAUUUCCAAAGUGGUGUGUACUGUUGACCUUGACGUUGUUUUGGAAGUUGCGGUCGACUUGUAAGAAAGCACGUCUGCGUGUGAAAUCAAUUGGAAAAAAAAAAGCUUUGAGCUUUCGUUUUAAGUUGGAUGAAAAAUGAGGUAACAAGCAGCCCCUCAUGAAGGAGAUUCAAUUUCUUCUAUCACGAGUCCCAAUUUAGAGAUUUAUGGAUUCAGAAACGUGUUUUUCUUCUAAUCACAAACGGUAAAGAACAGUGUUAUUAACGGUCAUGUUUUUUUUAAUGGAAGGCAAUGUUGGUCAAGAUUGAGAAAAAAAGUGUGGAAUUUAUUUGAUGAUAGGAAAACUUGAGGACUUUUAUGUAGAAGUUAAAAGGUCAAGCUUUUUUCAGACGGCAAAGAAUAAUCAACUGUUGAUUAGUAUCGAAAUAUUUAGCAUUUGGUUACGAUAAAAGGGAUGUGUAACGUGUUCUGAUAUGUGAUUCUGUGUAGCUACGUAGGAUAUUCAUAGACGCAUAGUUUAACAAAUUCCUCGGAGGUGCCUUUCGAUUUUAUUAGGUUAUUUGCGUAAUUACUUCCGUAAAUGCACCAUAAUCAGAUUACUCUCUUUCACGCUGUGCCAUCCAAAGUAUGCAAAUCUGUGGCUCGGGUGCAUCUCAAUUCUCAACCAUCGGAUCUUGAAGGUAAUAAUUUCAAUUUUAAUGCAACAAUUCUAUGUUCCACAUGAUUCACCGUUUGGCUCUGAUGUUUGAAUGUAUUUGUCUCAUGAUUGGUUCCUUUAUUUUGUACGCCACCUGUUAUUAUUUUCAAACAAACUUUAUUCCUGGAAUUUCAUCAUCCAAAAAAACAGAGUGGGUCUUUGACACAUGGUUUAUGGGAAAUAAGUCAAUAACUAACGAAGAAAAGAAAUAAACAAAUGAAAGGGUUUAUUUGACAAAAGCAUAAAACAUCAGGGAUUCAUAUGCAAAUUACCCAUUAAAGAAAAGGAAAGGAAGAAAAAAACCCUGGAGGAUGAAGCGAGGGUUUUGUAGGUUCACAUUUUUUGCUCAAACUCCGCCAAUCUCUGUAAAACUUCCAUACUAACAGAUUUGGAGCAUUAGAUCGAUUCCUCUUGCAAAGAAAUGCAAUCGAUUCGUGGCAGUACAAGGUUGCUUCAAAGGCAACGUUUCGCCAUCUCCAACACUCUUCGUCUCACUUCGUCUUCGUCAAGCUGGUCUGAAAAUGAAUCGAGAAGGCUAGGAUUUGAUUCUUUCCGCUCUACCAGAGAUUUUGAUUCAGCAGCGACGUAUCUCAUUAGUUCUUUCACAAAGGCGGUUUCUUCAUCUUCCCUAGUACCUGUAAGCCGCUUUCAUUUUUAGCUAAUCGUGGUUUGAUAUUUUUCUCGGAUUGUAGAAAUGUAGACGAUAAUUAGUUGCCAUUAGAGAUCCAAUUUUCAGAUUGGUUUGAUAUUGCAAUUAGUGUUAAAAGACAAGGAAAGCUUUGCUCUUGGGUUGAUCUUGCUGAGUACUGAUGAGUAGUCUCUUCCUUAGCUGCAAAUUCCACUAAUUUCGUAUUCCACAUUCAAUUUUAGCUCAGAUUCUUUAUGUUAGGGCCUUUCAUCGCUAUGGUAAUCACACAAUAUAGAUAAUGAUGAUAAUUAAGCUAAAUUAAACAAAAAAGUUUCGUCUUUGUCUUAAGCAUUAUUGAUGAUUGUUUAUCUUCUUAAGUUGCUGUUUAUCUCGUGUGGUAGUAAGGGACCAGUUUCGUGCUGUUGUUAUUUCUUUUCGGCUUUGGCUCAGUUGUAUGCUUUCACAAAAUGUUCUAACUUUUAUGGUGAUUGGCAAUUUUUGGCAGAAACAAAACUUUACGUAUUCAUCGAGGUGCUUUUCCACCAUUGGAAAUUCCAUUCAAUCUACUCCUCAAGGAUCUUCCGAGUCAGCUCCUGAUGUGCCUCAGAGAAUCAAGUUCAAGCGGCUUGAUAAAACCGCCAAGCAUAUUAUGCAGGUACAACUCGAACUUUGAAAAUUGUCAUGGGGUCAAAUCAUGUCAUGUUUUUAACUAUCUCUCAAAUCAUCUGCAGAUUGUAGACAAGGAGGCAGUUGAGCAAGUGAGAACUCUCAGAGAGAUACCAGAUAUAAGGCCCGGUUACAUUGUGCAGCUUAAAGUGGUAAAUAUAUUAUUGAAGAUGGCCUAGAUUGUACUUUCUUUUUUUUCUUGGAGUGUGGGAUCAAAAUAUCUUCUUAGGUUAAACCUUUCAGAGGCUUGGAUUUACUUUGUUAGAUUUCCAUUGUUUGAACAGGAAGUGCCUGAGAACAAGAGGCGUGUUUCAAUCGUAAAAGGCAUUGUCAUAGCAAGGCGUAAUGCUGGUCUUAACUCUACGUUUAGGAUUAGAAGACUUGUGGCUGGAGUGGGCGUCGAAUCCAUGUUCCCCUUGUAAGUACUUUGUCCACUCUCUAUCUCUCUUCUCUUGGGAAAAAAGCAAAGAUGUAUUUACAUUAUUAGAGCCUCAUAGCAUGAGCAAAAGGCCCCUUGUAUGAGAAAACUGAUAUGUGAGUGGGGUUGUUUGGUAACAGGUAUUCGCCAAACCUGAGGGAGAUUAAGGUGCUGGACAAGAAGAAAGUAAGAAGAGCGAAACUUUAUUACCUCAGGGACAAGAUGAAUGCUCUCAAGAAGCAUUAGCACCUUAAUAAUAAUAAACGCACUCUACACUGAUAAACAAAGUCGAGGGGUUUUUAGUGACGAUUUGGCUUAAGCCACAUAUUAUUAGACUGUGUAAUGUAAUGAUGGAUACCUUGAAACUAUUUUUUCUCCUACCUGUUCUAAUAAGUUUGUUAGCUAUCAUUAUGAUUAAUCUCCAGCUUCGUGAUAUUUUUUCAUAUUGAAGAAACAUCUAGGAGUUUAGAGGAUCACACAUUGCAGAAAUCUUAUACAUUGUCAAUUAACUGAUAUGAAAGUAUUUUUAUUAAUCCUAUUAUCCACAAAACCAUAAACAAAUGUUGAGAUUCAGAAAUUGAGAGGUAUAAUGAUGUGUAAAAAAAAUUAACUUGGUAAUAAGCUGUUACAAAAGAAAAAAAAAAAAAUUAAUUAAGUUCGUAAUUUAUCAUCUCUCGAUAAUAGGAAAAAGUUACGAACCCGACCCGACUUGUCUGCUCCCCGGUUUUUAGUCUACCUCUGUCGAGACAAGCUUCUUGUAUCUUCUUCGGGUGGUUUCGUUUUUUAACUGUAAGUUUCCUCUGAUUCCUUUUCUGAGGUUUGUGUCGAUCUCAAAGCUUAAAGAGAUUGAUAAACCAUAUUGCUUCACCUAGAUUCUGGGUUUUAGAUUGGAAAUUGGAAUUUGUUGUGGUGUUUAGGUAGCGAAAAUCCAGUCAUGGAAUCGUUGCAUCAAGUAGAAAUUUCUCCGGUUAAUGGGAUAGUAGAGUAAUGUAUUUUUUUUUGUUCAAUCCGAAUUACAAUGUUAUUAUUAUGAUAUUAUCUCUUGUUUGUGAUAUUAGCUGAAGUUAUUUAGGGUUUCCGAAAGGUUAGAUUUUGCAAUGGAUUUGUUAAUCGAUUUAUGUUUUCCCGAAUUUUACAGUGAGAAAGUAAAGUUGUGUAAUUGAAGGUGACUUCCAACCUCUGGGAUUGUGCUUUUUUUUCUUUCUUGUGCAUCAAAUGCCUAAGAAGAAGAGUAGUAGCAGUUCUUUGAAAAACCCAUCACAAGAAGUGGACAGACCUGGAAUACAACAAAACAAACCAGUUCCAAAACCUGGUAAAUUAGGAAUAGAGAUUGAUGAGAUCUUUAGUGGGAGAAUGAAAAAGAAGCUAUCACAAGAAGUAGAGAAACCUGCAAUACAACCAACCAAACCAGUUCCAAGACCUGGUAAAUUAGGGAUAGAGAUUGAUGAGAUAUUUGGUGGGAGAAAGAAGAAGAAGAUACCAGAGCUCGAGAAACCUGAGUCCAAAGAAGAGGUAGCAAAGAAGGAGAGGAAGAGGAAGAGGAAUGAGCUUGACGGGUUCAACAACAACCCGAAAUCCCGACCAAGGAAGAGAACCAAAGACGGUUUACCAGUGUUCACGGAAGAUGAACUUGGUAUCAACAAGGCCUAUGCUGGUGAUACUCCUCUUUGUCCCUUUGACUGUAAUUGUUGCUUCUAGUUCCUUGUCAAACCAGUUUUGAAGCAGAUUAACUCUGUCUGGUGGAAAAUGGAUGAAUCAUCUCAGUUUACCAGAGUUUGUUGUAGUCAUUGUUGUUCAUGUUUUGAUUAAUAGAAUACAUUUUUUUUUCAUUUUUUCUAGCUGAUUGCUCCUAGUCUAAUAUAUCAGUCUUUUUUACACGAAGGAAGAAUCAGAUUUCUAUACAUGAACUUGGUUUUCCAGCACAUUUCACAGCGAACUAUAAAGGACAGUCUCAGAGUUUUGUGACUUUGACAACUAGAUGGCAUAGUUCAUGGUGCUCUUAACCGCCGAAGCAGUAAAGUUACUCUCUAAAAUUUUGCGUAGUUGGAGAUUGUUCUACAUUGCUUAGGUUUUCAGUGAAGACUAGGAUCGAUCGAUGAUUGUUACCAAAAUUGUCUUGGGGCGUUGAAUAUCUCUCUCACAGGAUAAUCUCGUUCGAAACAAAGUUUCCCAGCAGUUAAUUGGCAUUUAUAGAUGACAGACACGUUUAAUCUUAUGGUUUUUUUUUUGCAGUUCUUUAUAUGAUCGAUAAAAUAUUCUGGAAAAGGUUUGAUGAAAUCUUCAAAAGUAACAAAAUAAGAAAACAUUAAUUGACAAAGAGUUUAAAGUUCGUUUGCCUCGUGUGAUGAGAAUCAAGAAUGCAUUCACUUGAAAGCCACAGGAUCACAUAACGACCAACACAUGUUUUAAGCAACUCUAUGCUUAAAUUACACACAUAUAUAUAAUAUAUAUGUAUAAAUUCAAAAGGUUCAGAAUCAUCUAGCUCAUAACUGGUAGAUAUAACAAAAAGAAAGAACUCCGACAACAACAACAUCUUUAGGUUUAUUAAGCUUAAACAACAAACUUAAGAAAGAAAUACGUUCUUUUACAUGGCAUCUCCAUCACAAAGAAACAUGCAGUGAGAAGUCCACAUUUUAUUAUCCCCAAACUUUUGGUAAAAAUCGUCUGAAAAAAAACUCCAUUUCACAUUGGAAGGAGGAGGAUUUUUAAAGCUUCACUUGUUCCACCAAUGCAAGAAAUCCUUGCGCCUGUUGAUUUUCUUCUGAAGCUGGAGGAGUCCAUAGAGCAAAGCCUCAGCAGUUGGAGGGCACCCAGGGACAUAAAUGUCUACUGGUACAAUUCUGUCACAGCCUCGAACCACAGAGUAGGAGUAGUGAUAGUACCCACCUCCAUUGGCACAGCUUCCCAUUGAGAUCACCCACCUUGGCUCGGGCAUUUGGUCAUAAACCCUGUCAUUGUUUUGAGAUAUUAGAAACUGGAACUUCUUCAAUCAGGAAAAACAGAUUUAAAACAAGUAAGCUGAUCCACAAAGACUACUUCUCUCCAUUCAGAUCCAAGGCUGAUAUUGUGGGUAAUUUGAAGAGAGAGUUCUGAACAUAUCUCUAAAUACUAGUUCGAUCACUGAUAGUCUCCAUUCACCAUGACAACUAAUCUAGACCAACUUAUAAAGCUACCAAUUAUCUCUCAAAUGCAUCUGAUAUUUUCAACCCGUGGUUCCUUGUGGCUAGUGGAUUGACUUGGGAUAAUUUCUAUCUCUAGUAUCUGGGCCUACAGACAUCAUUAGUAUAAGCUCAGCUGUCUACCCAAAAAUCAAAAACAUACAUUUCUUAACAACAGGAUUCUCAUUUAGAGAAGACAAGUUCUGCAGUUGAAUGAAGGGUUCGUAACAUCAAACAAGAAAAAUAGGAAUCCUAUUAAAAGUGUCAGAUAUCAAUUUUUCCACAACAACACACCUCCCAAUAAAAUGAACAUCAGGUCUUAAGGACAACGAAGCAAAGUCAUCAAGCAAGAUUCUAGACUGUCAGCAGAAGGAGCAACAAAUUAGGUAACACAGGACAUAAUACCAUUGAAUCUCCAUUAUCUAGUUAGUAAGAUCAAGUUUUUGAUAAAUCCAACCAUGAUAUAAUACAUGGUUCCUAAUAAACACCAAGCUAGAUAAUCUGAAAUCCCUAUCUAACCACAAAAGACAAACACAGAGGUUACAUGAAAAGAGAUAUCACUCCUGCAUAGAUGAUCUACUCUUCAUUCCUGAAUGCUAGAACUCUCCCAAGUUCAUGAUUUCGAAUCAAAAUAUUUCAGGCGCUAGACAAUGAAUACGAACGGUACAGCUUCCCAGGAAAAUCUUAUACGCACACAGAAAAUCUCAAUUUGACACAGACCUAGCAAACCAAUCAGAAUACAUGAACCCUAAAUCGCCGGGAAAGAGAAAAAUUCAACCCGGAAUCCCAAUCAUAAUCUCCUAAAAACCUAAUUUUGGGCUUUGAGGGGCUAUCAACAAGCAGAACAGCACAAAAUGAAGAAAUCUUCCCACGGAAAACUCAAGAGGAGAGUAUUCCCGAGAUCCGAGGAAAUAAAUCAGCCGUUUCAUUCCAAAGGAAAGAGAGAGAGAGAGAGAGAGAGAGAGAGAGAGAGAGAGAGAGAGAGAGAGAGAGAGAGAGAGAGAGAGAGAGAGAAAUAGAGGGGCGUACUUGCGAAGAGCCGGAGCCAUCUUGUUGGUAAGCGUACCGGCGACAAUCAUACAAUCGGAUUGGCGAGGACUAGGCCUGAAGAUAAUACCGAAUCGGUCGAGAUCGUAGCGAGCAGCACCGGUAUGCAUCAUUUCGACGGCGCAGCAGGCGAGGCCGAAGGUCAUAGGCCAGAUCGAUCCCCUACGAGCCCAGUUCAUGAGAUCAUCAACCUUGGAGAUCACGAACUCCGCCGUCUUGGAGAGACCCGGCGGAGGAGCGGAGGUCGAAGGAGGACCUGGUCUGGUGUAGGACGUCGGUGAUGUCGAGGGGGAGAGUGCGGGAAGCGAUGUAUGGAGGUGAGAGACCGCGGCGACGGCGCGUUGAGAUUGAAGGAGGAGAGGGAGGCGCGUGGCGGUGUUGCGCGUAAUCAUGGCCAUUGUUUGUCUCUCUCUGUCCUCUGAGUUUUUCGUUUCGUCGUGGAGUUGUGAUAACCAGCGACUCUACUAUUUACUAAAAACAGGUGGACUAAGUAUUUAUAUAUAUCAAUGGUUUUUAUCUUUUUUUUUUCACCUUAUUUUCUUACUUUUUUACAAUAAAUGAUCCAUUUCAUGGGUGUUUAAAAUUUAAUCAAGAAGACCAUUAGAUUAAAUUCUUCCCUAUCCAAAUCUAGCAAAAAAAUAAUAUAUAUAUAUAUAUAUAUUCCUAUUCACUGCCAAAAUCUUUAAAUUUCUCUCCUCUAUUGGGUGGAAAAUAUUGUUCUAAGAGAAGAAAAUUUAAGUUUUAUCAACUUUCAUUUUGUAAACAAUCUCUUAACGUUUGUAUUAAUGUUAUAAACGAACAAAGUAAUUAUUUUCUUCAUGUCAUAAUUAAAAGAACAAAAAAACUAAAAAUUAAAAUGCGAUAUGUUUUGGAGUGAAACCAAUUUGAAAUUGUUAAAUAUUUAGCCUACCGAUUCCCUCUCUUUAUUCAUUCGCCCCUUUUCUUUGAAUUUCAUAGGGUUUCUCUAUUCUCCUUCAACUUUCCAAAUUCAAAUUCCUUUCCGUUCUUCACUGUCACCGGAAAUGCAACCUCCGAGAUGUAACCCUAGCUCUCAGAGCCACCUUGAAUUUCUGAAACCGCUUCUCAAAGACUCGAUCAAGCAGUUCCUGAUGCAGUAUCGGAGCGGACGAACCCAUUUCUCCGAUUUCGACUCCAUCUUCACUCGUAUUCUUCACGAUCUCCCCGAUCCACCUCUUGAACUCGUCUGGUUCUGCUCCGCCAUCAGAUUCUACUCCUCGAAACUGGAUUUUGAAGACGAUUCCGUUAGGUUAACCGGGAGCUUCUUCCAGUUGCUAGUUUCUUUCUCAGACUCUUUUUCCGGCGCGAAGAGGAUAGCUCUAUUAUCUCCUCUUGUUUACCAGUUGACUCGUUUUGCUAAUACUAGGAGGAGAGACGCUUUGAGCUUGUUAGAAGGGAUUGUAAGCUACAUUAGCAUGUACUGCGUCGAGGAACCAGGAGAUGAAGAUGAUUUGUUGAUGGUCUCAGGGUUUAGUUUUGCUGAUCUGAGUCGAGUUUGGGUUGUGGAUGAAUUGGAAGAGAAUUUUAGAGAGGAGGAUUGUUUAGAGAUCUUUAUGCCAUUUGUUAGCGAGAGAUUGCGUAAAGAGAUGGAUUCUGAGUCCUGUCGGGUUGGUUAUUUAGCUGGAAUCGUAGCUUCUCAGGUUUUCUUGCUCAGUUUAUGCUUAAGAUUUGAUUCGGAGUUAAGUAGAUCCGAGCUAGUAAAAGAUCUGCGGGAAUCUGUGCUUCAGAUGAUUUCUGGGUUCCACACUUGCUACUUUUUUGGUGAGUGUCUUAUUUUUUCUUUAGCUACUUUGCAUUCCCAUGGAGAUUGCUUGUAACGUCCAAUCCAUAACAUAAGAUUUACAGGGAAAACAGUCUAUUGAGUAGUUAAGCAAUAUUUGACAAAGUGUCCUCUUCUUUAUAACUUUCUAGAUACCUCAAUUGGCAAGCAUGUGACGUUUUAUUGAUCUUGUUACAGAUUGUAUUCUCAAGAUGCUGCUGCUGGAGCCAUAUCUGCACCUAGCUUCCCUGCUGGUUGGUUCUUUAGCUAAACAUUGUUUCUACUGUUUAGUUUUCUCUCUCUGGGCUAGUUUCAAGUUAUUGUUCUUCAUAUCAAAUGUGUUUGAGUUGUUUUGUUGAAUCAUAUUGUAUGUCAGUAGACUGCAAGGGCACUGUUAAAUGGCCUGCGUUUGUAUAAUUGGAUGCUUAAGAAAGGCUGUAGUUGCUUUAUUGAAUCACAUUCUAUGUAACAUAGGAUUGAGUUAUGUUCUCAUGGGAAGAUUUUAAUCUUUCAGGGUCCGGAAGAUCAAGCUACGUUAAAGAAAAUCAUAACUGAAGCUGUGAUUGAAUCGGCGGAGAAGCUAUUCCUCAACCCUGGAAAUGGAACUUCACAAAGAAGUUUACACUUGAAGAAUAUUGCCAUUAACUGGUUAUUUCUGUUUGACCAUGCUAUGGCUUCUCUAAGGUAUGCCUGUAGUUAUUGGCCAAACAAAGUAAUUUCUUCGGUUACUUGAUUGUUUUGCUUGAUACUCCAAAGAAUGACACACAGGAGAAAUAAAGAUGAAGAGGAAACCAGCAGGUACAUGGACAUGUUCUCCAACUCACGUAUUCCUUAUCACUUGAUCAAUUGGAUACUCAGUCAAGGUGAAGUGAUUAGAGAUGCAGACACACUGAUAAACUCGACACCCGCAUCCUUCAUCGGUAAAUUGCUUCCUUUAUCUCUUUAUAUAGGUCAUGUUGACUGCUUUCUUGAGUCAUUUGUUCCACGGGACAUUCCCAUCUGUUAUUUGGAGCUACUAUGUCUCAAUUGACUAACCCAAUGUACAAAACCUGAUCCCCAGAAUGGCUUGUAUUCUUUGAAGAGCAAGGACUAAGGGUUUUCGACUGUGACCAUUCCAAAAACUAUGCCAAAACAGUGAUUCACAGGUCAAGACCAGAUCUCAGUCUCAAAGCUGACAUUGCUGAUGAUCAAGAUGCAGAAAUGGCUGAUGAUCACAUAGUGUCAUCUAUCUCAAAUCUCAGCAGUAGCACAAGAAAGCGUAAAGAAGAGAGGCAUAAUAAGGAGGGAGAAACGAGAGUGAAACUCUUCAAACAUAGACACAUCAACCUUCAAGGGAACUCCAAUUUUCAACCUUUUGUCUUCUCGGAUCGUUUGGUGAAUGGGACUGAGGUUGAAGUUUCAGACAUGGAGCUAUGAGUUUUGAACCACUUGUCAUAGGUGAGAUCGGCCUAAUGAAACCCACAUAUGUUAGAAAUGUAAGAAUGCUGCUGAAGUUAUUGUUGUCUAGAGAUUACAAUAAGUUCACUUUGUAAGUAAUUAGAACCUUCAUAUAGUAAAGAGCUAUUAAAAGUCCUUUAAGAUCAGUGGCGUCUUUGAUUUCUUCUCCAUCUCCAGAAUCACAAAGAUAUGACUGAUGUGACUGAGCAAGCAAUAUGUACCAAUUCUGAGAUUCAUUAAGAACUAAAGAGAAACAAAGAGGUUCAUGGGUUUUGUUGUUCAUCUUGCUCUGUUAAUGUUAAUGGGCCUUCGUGUGCUCUUUUUUUUUUUUUUUUUUUUUUUUUUGACAACACAUUCGUAUGCUGACUAUGCUCUUUUCAAUGAGUUUUGCUAUUUUUAUGUGGCUAUUUUACACCAGCAAUCUCAAAUCGAUGUAGCUUUUGUUUUGAAAAAAAGGAAAUCUAAAUGGUAAGAAAUGAUCUUUAAAAUGACUGCAAACAUGAUAAUCAUGUUUUGUUUUCAUUUACAUGUGUACACCAAAUUAUACUAUUAAGUUUUACAUAUCCUAAAAUAACUCUUGCGACUGCUAGUAUACCUUGAUGACAUAUGACGCCAAAACAGUCUUUUCAAAUGUCUUUCAUAUGAACCACUAUUUACGAAACAAUUAGCUGAGUAACUCAUUGUUCACGUUUAAAAAAUUCUAUCUCAGGAAUGUUCUUAUUGUGUUGUUGGAUUCUAAUCGAACUAGAGUAUGAGUGUCUUACUUUUUCAUUUUCUUUAAACGUGAAGUAAUGGAAGUUUCUACAGAUGGACACGUAAUUAAUCUUUGCAACAACUUCCAUGUAAGCCAAAUAGCCAUGAUGUAAAGAAUUGGAUUUAAAGCAAAGAAAUGUCGCUAGAUAAUGUAAAAAACAAAACUAAUGUAACUUUUGGAUAUGGAUACUAUUUUAUAUGCUUUUUGGUGUUAUAUAUAUAUAUAUAUAUAUUUUACACAACUUUCCCUACAAAAUGUAGUUAUGCUUCUUUUUGCGUGUGGACGUAAUUUACUACAUAAAUAUUCUCGGCGAAGAUUCGUGUAUAGGCAUUUUUAUAUAAAUGAGAUGAUUCGUAUAUUAGAUUUGAUGAGUGAUGGUGGAGAGAUGGAGACAGCAACUAAAUAAAUUAUCAUUUAUACUCCAAACUGUAAGCUAAGCUUUAAAGCUGAGUAAUGGCGUCACACGUGCCCUCAUUUAAUCAGAAAUUAGGAAACAGUUACUGUUAUCUCUUAAUUGAUCAAACAACCACUUCACUCGAGAAAAUACAAAUAGUCUUAUAUGAAAUCGGAAGGAUCCCCACACUUUUAAAUUACAAGAUUUUAAAUAAAAAAAAAACUUAUAUUCUAUCAUAGGCAAGGAAACUGCCUGGCAUGUUAAUCAUAGUGUGACCGAUAGAUCGGAAUUAAUGCAAAGACUUCUCAGAUAAUCGGUUAUUUUUGUUUAAUACUAGAUUCAUUAGUUUGUUUUAAAAUAUUUCAAAUAAUUAUUUCAAUAACACCAUGUUCAGUUGAGAUGUAAAAUCGUUAAUCAAAUAACAAUAUAUUGAACAUGUACUGAAAUACAUGAUUCCAAGUCUUAUAGUGGUCAUUAUACCAUUUGUUUGAUAGGAGCAAAACUUUAGAGAGAAAAACUUAGGAUAAAAAUAUUUCCUACUGAAAUGGAAUCCUAAAUGUGAAGAUUAAGAAACGUGGUUGGUGGGUUGAUCAUUAAAAUAUAUCCAUGAAAAACAUAGGAUAAAAACAAGGGAAAAAACAACUAUAUAUAGCGAAAGGUGGGGAUAUAAGACGCUAUGCAACUAAUAUGUAAUUAUAACUCAUAAAAUAAUAAACAGGUGUAAUAUUUACUCAGGAAAUAAUAUAUAGGUACAUUUAUUCGGUGACUAGCCAGCUUUUCCUUUUGAAUUCAUCUCCCUUUUGUUCUCUAGAUAUUUAAUUAAAUAAACUUUGAAACGCGACUAAGUUGUUGGAUUGCAAAUUGCAAUCAAUCAUAUAAUGUGUAAAAUGGAGUAAUAAGAAAUAAAGCAUAUCACAGUAUGAUUGAGAAUAUUCCAUCGAGUUUGGCAUUUCUUAUACAACCAUUCAAGUUAACACGAUGAAUUAAUGAACUCUAACAACCAUGAUUACAGUUAUUUAGAGCAUGAUUAAUCAACCAAAUGAAACUAAUUUAAGAUAUCUCUGCUCCUUCCAUUGUUGCAAAAGAAUAUACGUUUUCACUGAUAUCAGUUGUCAAUGUUUAGUUCUAUUUUUAUGUCACGGUCAAUAUAAUUAUGAUGCUCAGAUAUGGAGCAUAUAAUAAAGGGAAUUAUAAAAAUAAAAGAAAAUUUGGCCGGAUUUAUAAUUAAGCAAAAGGGACUUAUGGUUGUACGCUCUUGUUGGGGUGCCAAUGACACAUACCAACUCGACAGGAAAACGACAUGUGGUGUUCUCACUCUCCAUGCAAUGGACCCCGUUUUUUGCUAUACAAAACCACACGGUGUUCAUAUUUUAAAACGGGAGAAGACUAAACAUAAAAGGGAAAGACGACAAAACAAGUUAAAAUCCAACGGCUGAGGAUUCAUUCAUUCUCCUGUCUCCAGGAUUCACCAAUUUGGUCAAAAAGUCAACAGUACGCAGACUUUUUUCUCAAAAGCAAAAAUGCUUAAUUGGUUUUGGCCCCUGUACUUUUAUAUAUAUCACUUAAUCUCUCUCUAUAUUAUUAGACGAGGAAAUUUCCUUCAUCAAUUUAUUGUUCUCUUCUCUUCUCUUCUUUAUUUUUCCUGACGGGUAAAAAUGAGAUGAAUCCAACGUGAAAUUCAAGCUAGAGAUUUUUUUUUAAUGAUAAACAAUUGUUUAAAACAUGAAUAUGAAUUAUUUUAAAUAAGUGGCUGGAUAAAAAAGAAUUGUACCAAAAAAAACAGAAAAGGAAAGUAAAAACAGUGGAAAAUGAGGGUGCCGACACGUUUUGGGUUAAAACAUUAGCCGAGUAGAAAGAGCGUGGCAUCAAUAUGAAUGAUUAAUAAAAUAGAGGGACCGAUAAUGUAAUGGUUUAGGAAAAAUAAAGAACUGUCGGUUCCUUAACCAAGGUUAAGUUGAUCAUGGUAUCUAGUUAAGCCUUGUGAUUAUUUUUUGCAGGUCCUACAUUAAACCCGAGUCGACCGUCGGUGACUCAGUACGGGUCGUGUAAACGAGUUAUUCCUGGUUUUUUCUCAUUUUUUUUAGUCACAAGUCUUCUAUUUAUAAACAGAAAAAAACGAAGAUAGCCAUCGUUUUGUUAGAGAAGAGAAGAGAGAGAGAGAGAGAGAGAGAGAGAGAGAGAACGCCAUGGAAAGAUAAUACUCUGCUUUUUAUUGAAAUAUAAGAGGAGAGAGAGACAGAGAUGGCGGAUUCGAGCGAUUCUGUCUCCAUUGAUAUGGAGGCAUUGUCUCUUGGAGUACAGGUAAAUUAUCGUUCGAAUUUCUGGUUUCUUUUUUUUGAGUUUAUAGGAUUUUGUUUGCUUACUGAGGAUUUAAGGGAAGAACAAUAUAGGAGAAAUGGUACUCUAUUGGCUUUGUUUUUGCUUUCUGCGUUCUCCGAGCUGCUUUGUUCUUAAAUUACUAUUUAUCUGGAAUCUGUUUUGUUUUUCUGCUGUAAUCAUGAUCAUGAUACUUUGGUUUUAGCAAUUUCUGGAAUCGUUUGUUCCACAAUUAUGCUGGGAAACUUUCAUGUUGCUAAUUUUUAUUGCUUCAUUAUCGUUUGGAGCUAAAAUUGGAAUGAUGCUUUUGUUGUCGGUGAUUUAUCCAAAAUCACGAAAUGUGUUGUCGAUAACCUGAUUCGCCUAUUCUGCUUGAUGUUGAUUAUUUUUUUUUUUCUCUAGGGAUGUUUUUCUAUUGGGAUUUUUCAUGCAUUCCCCAUUUCAUGGCUAAAUUGACACCUUAAUUUAGAACAGGUUUAUUUGAUCCAAUUCUUGUUCUACUAGAUUCCAAGUAUAUAACUCUUGCAUUUUCCACAUUCUUUUUCCUCAUUCUUUUUCUUGUCUUGUUAUUCUUACUGUAAAAUUCCAUAAUGAAGUUUUGGUUCUUCUAUUGAUGUUUAAAGUUUUAAUGAUCCCUUUUGUUAAACCAAUUCUUGUCUGCGUAUAUGAUCAUACUGGGAAACUUUGGUUCUUUUUAAAAAAAAACUGGUUUCUAAUCUAUAUUACUUAGAAGGGAAAUGAAAGUUAUGGCUGUGGUCCUAAUCUAUGCAUAUUUAUAUUUUUCCUUCAUUUAUUUGAUAGAGUAAUUGGUUACUGAAUUAAAUUCUACUUUUUUUUGGCUGAUAGGAACACCUUGUGGAGACUACUUAUGGCCCCGUAUGUGUUGCCGUUUGUGGAGAUCCAGAUAAACCAGCGCUUGUCACAUAUCCUGAUGUAGCUUUAAAUUGUAAGCAAAUCUUCCACUAUACUUAUCAAAUAUGCCAUAACUUCAGUAGUUUAUCGAUAUGAUUAGAAAAGGAAUUUUGUGUAAUAUGUUGCGUUCAUCUUGUGCAGAUAUGUUCUGUUUUCAAGGAUUAUUGUUUUGUCCAGAAGCUAGUUCCUUGUUACUUCACAACUUUUGCAUAUAUCACAUAAGUCCUAUUGGCCAUGAGGUUGGUAACUGAAGUAUGAUCUUUUACAUAAUUUGUAUGUUUUUGGUAUUUUACUGUUAACUGCUAUUACAAUCCCUUGAUAAUGCAAUUCAUAUCCCUUAUUACAUCGCUUUCUUCAAGAAUCAUUGCAGUUGGGAGCUCCGAUGAUCAGUGCUGAUGCUCCUUUGCUCUCAGCUGACGACUUAGCAGACCAGAUAGUCGAGGUUCUUAACUUUUUCGGGUAAGAAUUCAUCUCCCGCAUAAGUUGUAUUUGUGAAAAUUAUUUCAUUAAGCUGCCUAUAUUCUUUUGAUAGCGUUGUAUUGGCUCUCGUUAACCAAAUUCUUUCUCUGGCGACUAGGUAGAAGAAAGAUUGACUAUUGUUUUCUUAUUUUCCUAAAUUUCUCUUCCUUCAUUGCUUAUUGGUUCUUAUCCAGACUUGGUGCAGUUAUGUGUAUGGGUGUCACAGCAGGAGCUUAUGUUCUGACCUUAUUUGCUGUAAGUAUUUGUCAUCUACAGUAACGGCACCUAUCUUAAGCUUAUCAUUCAACUUGAUGUCCAAUUUUUUAAUUUUUCUCGAAACUCGAUUCUUCCAGAUGAAGUACAGGCAGAGAGUUCUGGGGUUAAUUCUCGUCUCUCCACUGUGCCAAGCGCCUUCUUGGUCAGAAUGGUUGUGCAAUAAGGUUUGUUUCACAAAUAUAUCUUCUUUGGUUAUCACUUGGGUUUAUUCUUAUAUCAGUCACUUUAACUUAUGCAGGUUAUGUCUAAUUUACUUUACUACUAUGGCAUGUGUGGGGUGGUCAAGGAAUUGUUACUAAAACGGUAUUUCAGCAAGGUACGCUUUUGCUUUCAAAGGUUUCUUGUAAAUAGUGUAUUGACCCCAAGACGAAGCCACUUUUUUUUAUACUUUUGAGUGUGACAUAUUUUUAUAAUGCAUUAGCCAAAUGAUAAGCUUUUUUGACUUGUAGGAAGUUCGUGGUAACGCUCAAGUUCCAGAAUCGGAUAUUGUUCAAGAAUGCAGAAGAGUUAGUAAUAUUCUCUUUCCUUGCAAUUCCCUGAUGCUUUGACAAUUUUUGAUGUAAUAUUCCGUAAAAUUGAUAUGUUGUAUUCUCCACUAUCCAGUUACUUUGUGAGCGGCAGAGCACAAAUGUAUGGAGAUUCCUUGAGGCAAUCAACGGGUAAUUCUUGUUUCUCUCAGUUGAUAUCAUUUCAAAGAUUAUGCAAUGUAUUUUCUUCCGUCCAAAGCUGAAAGAAAUGUACCUUAUAUAUUUGGGUUUGGGUGAAACAGGAGAGGGGAUCUCAGCGAUGGGUUGAGGAAAUUGCAAUGCAGAACUUUAAUAUUCAUUGGUGAAAAUUCUGCGUACCACUCCGAGGCCGUUCACAUGACCACCAAACUAGACAGACGAUACGGUGCAUUAGUCGAGGUACAACAAUACAUCAACCAUUGAUAUGUCUGUUUUCUUUGUGCACACUCUAAAUCAUAAUUGUAUUAAAAAUGGUGGACUUCAAAUUAAACAGGUACAAGGAAGUGGGUCGUUGGUGACAGAAGAACAGCCACAGGCGAUGGUAAUACCAAUGGAAUACUUUUUAAUGGGAUAUGGCUUAUAUCGACCUACACAGAGUGUAAGCCCAAGGAGUCCUUUGAGCCCAACCCGAAUCUCCCCUGAGCUUCUCUCCCCUGAAAAUAUGGGCUUGAAGCUCAAGCCCAUCAAGACGCGACUCGCCCUAUGACACUGUCUACCCUGCUAGACAUUUAUUACAUAUAUACAUGAUACAUCACAUAAAAUCGCCAUUGUUGAAGUUGGAGCUGCUCGUCUGUUAUGAAUUGAGCUGUAGAUAUAGGCAGAUAUUGAUCAUCUAUAUAUAUAGAGAGUGUGAGAAGAAAAAGAGUGAAAAAGGGAUGGAGAAGGGAUUGAUAUUAAGGUAGAGAAAAUACAGAUGUUAUAUUUUGAUUCUUUAAAGUUGUCUUCAGUGGGGCUUUUUUGUGGUAGCUGUUCUUGUUCUGUCUGUAUUCUGUACAUUCCGUUGAAUAAAUUAUUGAAGGAAAAUCCCAUAAUAUUUGAUAUCAACUUCCAUUCUGUACAUGUACUUUUUAAGAAUUUCAAAUGCAAAUGUAAUCUACGGAAUGGACUAACAUGAACACACAAAAAUGAGGACUCCGAUGACAAAAAGUUUAAGGCUCAAUGGCUCAUGCAUGUGAGGUUCAAGUGGACAAGUCUAUGUGGUAUCGUAACAUCGCCCCUUGAGAUGAUGAUACAAACCCAAUUGAUGUAGAUUGGCUCACAUCUCUCUUAUAUAAUAUAUGUUGAUCCUUCACACUUUUGCGUGUGUGAAAGCAAUAUUUAUAAAAAAAAAAAAAAAGCAAUAUUUAUUCCCAAUAUUUUACAUUUUCUCUGUGGGCUUGCGAUCACUAUAUCACUCCAUAGAUGCAGAAAAUGUCACAUCAUGACGAUGUUUGGAUAGGCAAGUACGCGUUCGAGUUUCAAGUAUGAGGUGCAAGAAACAGGGAGACUCAUUUGCAGAUUUCUAUUCAAAAGAUUAAUUAAGCAAGGUGAGAAUAUAGGAGAUACUGUAUAUAUGUGAUGAUUAAACAGAAAAUUCCCAAAUUCUUGUACCGUAAUAGAAAGAUUGAUUAAAUGUUUAUUACAGAUUACAACAAUUAAGGAAAGAGAAAAAGAAACAAUACUCUCUCUAAUUACAAGGGAAACAAAUGGGUUGUGUAAGAAGGGCAGAGGUCAGUGAAUUUGAGGAGGAAGCAAACAAUGUUAGUGUUAAAAUAUUCUUUUUUUCCCUUCACAGAUGUCUUUUGUCAAAAUUUGGUAUUCCAAAACUUACUUCACCUGAGAAGAAAAUUCUGGUAUUAGGAAUUGUGAGAUUGGCGUGACAUCCGUUGUUUACCACUUUCUGAUCUUACAAUUUCUCCUUUCUGCACAAAUCCAAAACCAAAACCAAAGCUUUGUUAUUUAUUACAUAUACGAAGAAAGAACCUGGACACCAACCAAAAAACCAAACUAACCUUUACCUCUAUAGAGCUCUCUGGAGAAAACCACCUUAACAGUACUCCAAGAUGCACAACCGCUGGUAUCACUUUGAAAACCAGAGGUGUUGUAACCUGCCCCAUACAAAAACCAAACCAGCUCAGCUACUUGAACACAUAUAAGAGAGUCGGAAACCAAAAUGAUUUUAUCAUACCAGGCUAAGAGCGGUUGUCCCGAGGAGAAGCAAGUAGAGUUUCCCCUGACAAUUUUCAAAACUUUUAAGCUUCUUUCUUCAAAUUCUUAAAUCCUAUCAAACGAGGACCAGUUGCGUCACUUACCUCGAUGAGGUGAAGAUUGGAGGCACGGCUAAGUAGUACAAAGGCAAACUCCCCUAUCUGAGCCAAAGAUAUUCCAACCUGCAUCAUUUUCAUAAGACUUGGUCAAACAGAGAGGAGAGUACACGAAAGCAAACAUGAUCAUAAGUCAUUUGAGACAGAAUCUUUUACCAGGAGAGCAGUCUUGUUGUUGUAUCCAAAUCCCUUGACAACUGUUGUAACUAUCGUUGUCUUUAUAAUAAUUACUAAUAUUACAGAGGCUAACAGUAUAUCCACAUGGGUCCACAGAAAAUGGACAUUAACCAACAUUCCGAUGCUGGCUAGGAAAAGAGCAGCAAAUAGAUUACGGAUGGGUUCGAUCUGCAGCGAAUUAUAAAGCAUCUGAGUCAGACUAUCAACUCUUUCAGAGGUUAGAUCGGAUACUUGUCAACUGAUUACUUUUUGGUCAUAAUAUUCACCCUGUAAGAACCCGUGCUAUGAUUGAACAGGGAAAACAGUAAAGCCUUUUUGGUAAUAACUAGUCAAAACUUACUUGCUCCAACGUAUGUUCAGCGAGAUCCGUAGUUGAUAUCAUGACCCCGGCAGCAAAAGAACCCAGUUCAAGGCUUAAUCCCAGCUUAUCACUACACUGAAGACAUGAAAGACCAUUUAAAUAAACAAGUCAAUAGAAAAAUUCUCAUAUAUCAGAAAACUAGGCGAACGAAUGCACGAAAAAGAAACUUGAUGAAAACAAUGUGAGAUGGAUACUAAUAAGGAAGAUCAUGAGGAAGAGAAAGACUAAGUAGGACUCACCCAGGCUACAAGUAGACAAAACGCAACAGCGGCUAACUGAUAGAGUUCAUUUGUCUGAUCCAUGAAAAAGAGUUUAGGUUAAUCUAGAAACUGGAUUCAUUAGAUCAGAAGAUAGGGAAAAUAAGCUUGAGAGCAAAAUGAUGUACCUGUGACGAUAAGCUGACCAUUAGCUUCAGCAACCAAGGGAUACAUGUCCGUGAUAAUAUUGACAGAACAGCCAAAAACGAAAGCAACACAACCGCCCUAAAUAAUAGACCGAAAAGGAAUUAUUAACAUCGAUUCUUUAAAUUACGCGAUAGGAAAAAUAACUCUUAUCAGUAUUUCCUUACACUUUUGCCAUUGAGAAUACUCCCUCAACAAUGCCAGAAUUUCCCCCAAGAACUGGAAGCAAAGCAAACAGCAGACCCACAGCACAGUCCUAGAAACAGAUGCUAAAAUCAGAUCUCCAAAUCAUUUGAAAAGGAAUUCUACAAGAAAAAGGUCAUUGUUUGAUUGCCAUAUAAACACUAAACAAUCUAGAAAGACAAUGGACAUCACAUGUUGAUGGAAAUACUAUCAGAUACCUGAAGAAUUAGGGUUCCAAUUGUAACUUGGCCAUGAAGAGAAUUAGUUGAAUUUUUUUCCAUGAGAAACUUCAGCACCUAUUGUUUGAAGGCAGAAACACAUAAUGAAACAUACAAUCAACAAUACUAAUAAGAAAGCCUGCUGAUGGAAAUGGUUAUAUAAGAAUUAUAGAAUUCACUGAAAUUACCACCGCGGUUGAUGACAUUGACAGAAAUGCUCCUACAAAUACACCCUCCGAACGUUUACCACCACAUAACUGCAAACGGGACCAAUUGAAAGCAUUUCACAGAGAGUUACUUCUAAUACGAGUGCCUAACUUUCAAAGACAUGACACUAUAAGCUGCAUAAACUAAAUGAAACUUAUAGAACUAAAUGUCCACGAGUAAAAGACAAAAACAGAGAAAAAUUUCCUGAGCCACUGGUGAAAGAAUGACGCACCGACACUGUGAUUCCGCACAAGAACAUAAAAAGAAGAAUUUGAAGAAGGCCUCCCAGAACAGCAACUGAUCGAACAACUCGAAGCUACAUAGUAGGAGGAAAGGUGGUCAAGAGAAGAUUUCAAUUUGAUACUAAGCAAAUCAAAGACGUUGAUAUCACCUUAGCAGUGGAGAACUCUAGACCCAAUGCGAAGAGCAGGAAUACCACACCAAACUGGGCGACUGUUUCAACCUACAUAAAUAACCAUGCCAAAAUGAAGGUGCAAAUCCACAUGUAAGAUCACAUAAAAUUAUGCAAAGAUAUACAUUCCCAUCUCCACAGCAGUCUAAUGCUAUAGUUUCCUACUAAAAGACGAACUAAGGUCUUUGUUAUCCAUGCACCAUCACAUGAUAUUAGCUCAAUUUGUUUUGACCCCCGGAAGUCUGAAGAAAAGAGUUCCUAGUCAAAGACCCUCAGAAGAAAAUAGUUCCUAAAUACCUGGACCAUCUCACUGAUGAAGUUCAAUCCUCCAGGCCCAAUGAUAGAUCCUGCUAGCAAAUAUCCAGUUAUCACCUGCAUUGAUUCACAAAAUGUGAAGAUAGAGACAUCAUACUGAAAACCUAAAUUUAUAAUGACAGAAGAGAAUGAAAGUCAAACCGGCUGUCCAGCACAAGCAAAGGCGAUACCACCGCAAGUUGCAGACACAAUGACAACCACCAGGUCUGAUAUCAGUCUACAUGCCAUAAGAAGCACAAAUCAGAUGACUAAUUAAGAAUCCCCGAGUCUAAUUUUCAAAGAAAUUUAAUCAAUUAAUAAGUAAGAAUCUUGCCUCAAGUCUAGCUGCAAUACUGGAUACUUGGAUUUGAAAUUGGAUAUGAUGAAGACAUUGUCCUGUAAACAAAACCAAAAUUACCAUGUAAGAACAAAUACAAGAAAUCCAAAACUCUGACUUCCUGUGCUAAAGCUUACUUUUCGAUCAAUCAGAGUCGGAGUAUCCUCAGCUCUGUUAUCAUUGUCCAAGUUGAAAACAUCAUGGAGUUGGAAUCGCCUAAGGGAAAUUAGAAAACGCUUAAUAGGUAUAAAAUUCAAAAACACUAUAGAAGGUCAUAUAAGGAAGUUUUAGAAACAAAACAAUAACUAGAAAUGAAUAGUGUUACUUCUCCUCUUUUGUCUCAUUUUUCUUUGUUGUCUUUACUCUGGCUACAGUUUCCAGAACAGCCUGAUCACCACAAGGUACAACAAUCAAGAUCACAUUCAGAGACUCAUAUUAUGAAACUCAUGAAACAAAAGAUCGAAUCUAAAGCAAGCCUUUGCUAUUUAUUCGAAUGAAUAGACAUGGGAGCGAUUUUGAAUCUGCUAAAGCAUAAACAAACAAAUAAACAAAAAUUCUUCCAAAUUUGGAAAUAUAUUAAUGAGGAAAUGAUACAUGAGCCACUUAUCAUACAAACCUGCUGUCCAGCUACACUGUUGUUGAAGCUUCCAGGAUCGGCCACUGCCAUCAAUAUAACAACAAAAUAAAGAUAAUAACAAAGUUCGCCACUAAUAGUAAAGGCUAAAGAAGACAAGAUCUAUCCAUUUCAGGAAACCAAUCAUUAAAACAAUUUUUUUUUUUAAAUUAUCGUUCUGCAGUCAUUCUCGAUCCAGAAGAAGCAUACUAAUACUACUCCACAUUGUGGGAUCGUGAUCAAUCUAAGUUCCGAAUCGUCCAGGGAUCAGAGAUCCAAUUUAAGAUCUCACUCGUGAGUUGGAUGAAUCCUCAAACACGAGUGGGAAGAACACUGAACCAGAAUCUUUAGAAGAAAAUUAAAAAAUCAUGAAAAUGGGAUAGGUAGGACCGAUUCCAGUUUCAAUGGCCGCCAUUUUCAACAUCAUAAAGUUCUCAGGUAGAGAUAGAAAGAGUACCUUCAUUCUGGUCGCUAUCGUUGAACUCCUUUUCGAGAGCGCGAUCGAUGAUGUCGGCGAAGCUACCUUCCUUGGGCUUAACAAGAGAAGAAUCGUUCAGAGAUGCGACGGAGGAGUUGCCGAGGGUUUCGUCUAACAGAUCCGAAUCAGGGAGAGCCCGGGGAGACGCGAAGGAGAAACAGAGGAAAAGGAGAGCAAGUUCAAAGGAGAGUAAGGAUCUUCUUCUUCUUCUUCCUCCCCCUUCCACCAUGGCAGGACUGAAUCUGGAUUAAACCGGUAUGGGGCACGGUAAAGAAAACCGGUACCGGUUUAAACACCGUCGCGUGGCGUCGCGAGUGCGCAAGUGGGGUGGGGAGAGAGAGAGAGAAGAAGAAAGUGAGAUGAGAUGAGAAGAGAGAGGGACUGUUCGAAGAGCGGGGAAAGAGAGAUUGCAAUGGUCAAACAACUAGUCCAUACAUACACUAUUAUAUAGUAGCCGACGAUGGAUUAUAUAUCUGUAAAUAAGAAAAUUAUAUAUCUGGAUGUUGUUUUUCGUUUUCGUUGCAUUAUACAACUGCCCUGCACCAUGUGUGGCCCAUGAAUAAUGAUUUCGAUUAGGACAAACAUCUUAUACAUAUAAAUCAUUCAGUGUUAUUUUUUUGGAAAUUGGCUAAGAUGUCCACGCCAUACUCAAUAUGGACUCUCUUUUAGAGUUUCUACUUUUGAAAAUUCAUCAGUUUUUAUCAUCUACUCCUUGUCCGCCUAUCUACGGAUCAACUCAAUUACAUACGAUAACUCGAGGCUGAUCAUCAAAUAAAAUAAAUCAAUCGUAAAAUCAAAUAAGUUUAUGACGGAUUAUUGGUUUUUGCCGGCAUUUUCUGGAUUGAGAACAAUAAAAGUCCGGUUUAUGAAUGGGACCAAAUUAAUGUUUGGAUUUAACCACCGAUCCGACCGCUAGGAUAAAGUUGAAUUCAUAUGGGUUCAGUAUUUAUCCGAAAAAGAUUACAAAUAAAAAAUAACAGAAAAAUAUACCAAAACAAACAAAUAUAUACAAUAUUUUUAUUCCUCUCUCUCCCACAAUUCAUCUCUUCCUUUGACAACAAUGGCGGACAAACCAAGCAGAGCACUUGUAUUGUACGGAGACGGCUUGGCUCGAUUCGUUGACCCGUCUAAUACCCACAUCCAUUCUCUCGCUUCCGUCGCUAAUUGUGGCUUCUUGAGCCUUCCUCAUGCGCCUCCAGGUCUCUCUCUUUCCCCCUCACUCUCUUAAUUGGCCUACUUUCGUUGAUUAGUCAAACAAUUUCGGUCAUGAUCGCCGGUUUACUUAUUGAAUUUCUCCCCAUUUAUUGGCGAUCCUUGUUUGAGACUGGUGUUUAUCAGAAAUGAACCGUGUCAAACUUGAGAGUCGUUUGAUUUUGUGAGGCAUUUGGAUCCGUUUGAUCAAAAAUACCAAAAUAUUGUUUUUUAAGCCAAAUAUCAAUAUGAAACUGGCAAAGCAGCUCACUUUGAGUCUUCUCUGUCUUGAUCUAACUGGGCAACAUGGAAUCCAUGAUUAGUGUCAUGUGUGUUGAAGAGGAAAUGAAAAAUAGUUUUUUGCUUCAUCUAUGCAAUUUGACCCAAAUAUAUUAAAAAUCGAAGAGUAAAAAAUCACUUUGUGUUACAUUUGCCAGCGCUUUGCUGUUCUGCUACUAGAUAUUUAUUUACCAUGUUUUUAUUCACUUGCAGAAUCUGAGAAAGAAAGGGUAGUUCGAGAAUUCGCCCAUUUGCUCGAUGCAUCAGAAGCUUAUACUAUAGCCGUGAGAUACUUCACUCUCUGAGAAUGAAUUUUUAUGCGAGCCGAGUUAGGUGGUGUAUUGGUACAUAGUUUUAUUCACGACAGUAGAGGCUAAAAAUCCAUGAUUUUUGUUUCUUUUGUAACAGACUGGAUUAAAAGCUAAGGAAAGUGAAAAUGAAAUCUCAACUUUGGCUGAAAGGUUUGCCAUUUCUCUUAUCUGUAUAGUUUUCACACUCUUUUGGAUAAUAAAUAGCCAGUAUUUCCAGAUGAUGAUGCUAGUUUUGACAUUGAUGUCACUGGCACAAAUAUUAUGGUGCAGGUUUAUGGGACUCAAGGCUGCUUUAGUAACGGACUGUUCUACUCUGAGUUCUUUCGGAAAACUGAUUGGCUUAGAUGUAUUACAGCUUAGUGAAAUAUGCCAUAAGAGUGAUUCCUCUCCUUCUGAUGCCACGGCAUCGAAGUUACUAAGGCUGCUUGGAUUUGAAGGAGGAAAGUGCUUGGAUGUGAGCCUAUACGACUCGGUGUUUGUGCAUAUGGGGGUUGAUGAACAUAAAGACUUGCGUACUGGGAACAACGUGGGAGUUAUCGACUCUUUGAUUGGUAGUAUUAUGAGAAUGGCUCAACCGGGUUCAGAGAUUGUAUCGCGCUUGCAUCUGUCUGUUGUUCUUAGCUACGGUUCUGUCACAGACAAGGAUGUUUCAGUUUUUUCUGUCAAGACUCUACAAGAAGGCGUUAACCCCGCAUUUGCAGGACUUGUCCCGCGUCAGAGCUACACCAUGCGAGGUGAAAAGACACGGGAUGAUGUUCGGUAAGAGUUCAUUUUUUUUUAUUUUUGUCAAAACCAAAUGUAUUUGAUUAAAAAAUUUCUGAAGUUAUAAUUGCGUUCUUGACCGGUUUGGUCAUUAUUGCAACCUACAGGGACUACUGUCCUAUGUUGGUAGCUCAGUGGCAGCAUGCUGUGACCCGGAAAGACUUAGUUGAUACGUUAUCAUUUGAAGCUCUCAAAAAGGUAAUGAAUUCUACUUAAUUGCAAGUUCCGCUGUAAUAUAUGGCAUGGCUUGUCUCAUGCUUCUUUUUUGUUCUCUGUUUUUCAUCGUAGCUCUGUGGAAAUCUUGUUAUACCGGCUGAUCGGUUCAUCCACGAAGUUGCUUUCAAACUUUGGAAGGCCCCAAAAUAUGGAGCUUAAACAAAAAAAAAACGAAAUUUCAGGUAUUUAAUUGUGAUCAUCUCCACUCUAGACGCAAUUGUAUACUCUUUCCUCUGUUGGAUUUGAUUGUGGAUUGAUGUCAAAGUUGCUAACCUUACAUAAAGAGAAGAGAUAAAAGCUUUUUUUGUUUUAUCUUCUAAGUUCCGCAUCUUGUUAUCCAGUUUCAUACACAAAAAAAAGAAGAAGAUACAUAACCUUUCUGAUAUUUGCUAUAUAUAUAUAAACUGAAUCGGACAUGGAAAGUGUUGAGAUUUAAGUAUCCUCCUCUUGAACCGGGUGGUAGUUAGUACCGCCGAUCCAAGACAGUUUCAACUCGUCUUCGUAGAGCCUUUGGCCAUGAUUGUCUCUUGUGAUCUUCCUUAGAAAAACACCUUCUCUCUUGACCACCCAAAUGCACUCUUCCUCCUCGGGAUUGUCGCAUUGCCACCUGAACUUUCUCUCACCGGCGAAAACCGGUAGGGUCUGACCAUAAGGCGAGCCAAAAGCGGUGAAGAAGGUGCACUGAAAGUAUGUGUAGAGGAACGGUAUCUUGAUAUAUACUGGCGUGAAGGACCAGCUUUUGGAUUCGCCCGGUUUGAGAUCCUGGUUCCCCAAUUGGUUAUUAGACGACCAACAUCUAAACGAGAGACGCCGGUCUCGUCCCGGGUAUUUGGUUAUCUCGUUUCUCACCUCAAACCGGGCUGCUGUUGUGGAUGCGAUGAGAAGGCACCACGUGAAUGCGGUGGCUAAUCGGAAUCUUGAACCGAUCGUGCACCCCAUCCCCAUUGCUUGCUCUCUUGAACACUUCUGUUUUUUAGAAAAAAAAAUUGUUUUGUUUUGGGAAUUUAUAUAAACAUGAGUGGUUUAUUUAACAACAACAAGAACAACAACAAAGCGGGAGUGGUUUUGGACGUUUUAUGUUGAGCUUCUUUUCCCUUUGGCCUUUUGGUUUCCUGACAAAACAAAACAAAGUAACAAACUUCUGGUAAGUUUUCUUUUUUUUUUUUCUUAUCAAAAAUAAACAUUUCCGUUUUGUUAUUUUGGGAUCUCCCUUUAUAUAAAAACUGAAAUAGAAAACCAAAUACUAUGUUAUUCGGUUUUAAACAGUUUUGAUUUUUGAUUCGUAUUUGAUUUGUAGCAAAAUUUAUCUGUAAUUUAUAAAGGAAUUUAUACGAGAUUAAAUUUUGUUUUCUUGGGUCGGUUCGAAUUUAUGAUAAUUGGAUUUUGGGAAAAUAAAACCGGAUCGUUUAUUUUGUCAUCUGUUCAGUCUAGUCUUAGAGAAGCUACACGCACCAACGUGGAGUUUAAAGAUCUUAUGAACGCAUAAUUGUUUGUCUCACGAGCGGCACUAGUAAUACAUAGACAAAUUAAUGAUAUUCUUUUACCAUAAUGUCGGAUUCUAAAAUCUUAAAAAUCGAACAAGUAGAGUAGUAAAAAUUAGCUAAAGAAUAAAGAUAUAUUUCAUUGCUCUGUGUUUGGUUCAUAAAUGAAGAAAAGUUACAAGAGAGUUCGUUCUUAAUCAUAUCACCAUUUCCAAACCCAUUUGCUUCGAAGAACAUCGACGUUGUAUCUUAAACCAAUCAUAUCUCUUACGACUCUCCUCUGAUAGAAACCGUCUCUCUUUGCAACCCAAACGCACUCAUCUACGCCUGUUUCCGACGACUUGCACUCUUUCCGAAACCCAUCUCGAACCGAAAAAACCGUCACCAAAUCUUCCUUGGUCGUCCCUAACCCGCUCCGGAACCGGCACCGGAACUCUGUUUUCUUGAACGGCCACAUGUUCAUUGUCGUGAAUCUCCAGCUCCGAGCUUCUCCUGGCUUUAACACGGCCCAACCAAGAUCGUCUUCGUUCGACCAGCACCUCACGGCAAGCUUUGCUCUCCUGUCAGGGAGACCGGUGAUCUCGUUCUUGAGCUCCACGCGUCCUGCGUUCGCUGGAACUGGUAAUAACGCCGCCACAGCCACUGUCGCUAGGACAAUGCACCACCUGUGGAUGCUCCUCAUUCCGAUUUCUUGAUCCGCCUCUGUGUUUUUUUUCAAUAAUUUAAAAAAAAAAAUUAGAAAAAUAAUGGAUUCGAAUAAGCUUUUAGGUAACAAAUCGGACAUGUGAGGAUCAAAAGACUCGAAUGAUGGAGAUUACACCGUUAAGAGAGUCAUCUCUUCCAAAUUUGUAAUUUCUAUAAGACAUGAGUCACAGGACUCGUUUUCUUUAUUUUUGGAAAGAAGAAAAACAAAAGAACAUAAGACUCGAAACUGAAUGAGAGAGAUGGACAUCCAAAUCGAAACUGAAAUGGUAACAAUGGUUAUAUAUCUACUAAAUUAAACAUAAACCAAAUUUAAUGCAACCGAACCAAAACCGAUUGCAUAAACAAAAAUUCAUUAUUAAUCAAACCAAAAUACAUUUAAUCAUUUAUGCAAUAUAAAUCAAAUUUUUAUUUAUUUAUCCAAAACCAAACCAAACCGGAUAAAAAAAAGUAACUGAGUAUAGCGAAACCAAACUAAACAAAAAAAAAGGAAACCGGAAUGUUCACGCGUAGUGAACAAAAAACAAAUAAAAGGUGGCUUUUACUAUUUGAGGUCAUUCUUGCUUGGUCAUGCAUGAGAUGUCUACGAUCAACUACAGACUGUGCUGUUUUAAGCAAGAAACUUUUACACAAUUAUCAAAAAUCUUCAAUCUAAUACGCCUUGAAAAGCCUAAUAUUUCCUUAAAAAUAAUAAAGACAAGACAUCAACAAAGGGGCAACAGAGAACCAGGAGAUGAAGCUUCGAAGAAAAAAGCUGCUAGAAGGUGUAAUGUAUGUGGCAAUCACUAAAUAAAUAAAAACAUGUGAUAUGCAAAAUAUUUAGCGAAGAUAUCAAUCAUUUCUGCAAGUUGUAGAGAUAAAUUUAUUAAAGAAGGUAAUAAAACAUUAGCAAGUCAAUCAUUAGCAUCCAUGAGCCAAACCAAGCUCCUCAAAUGUAUAAAUAAAUACACAUAUUUCUCGAUGUACCUCUGCUACUAGAAUACAUAUAAUCACUUAUACAAACAAUCUUGAAUAAAUACAUAGAAAAUGUAGUCUAAGGAUCUCUCAAAUCGGAGUAUGGUGCUUAAUUUCUAUGGCGCAAAGCUUUCAAUUGAUGCGGUGACCAAGGCUUCCAGGGCUCAACUAGCUUCUCGACGGGUCUCGACAAUUCAAAAAACCUUCCAAACGGAGAAUACAACUCAUAACCAAUGAAAUAAAUCCCAUUAGGCCUAACCGCGUAUUUACAUAUUUGCCCGUCGCAUAGAAUCGCCGUUGUAGACAAAGUCUUGAUCUCAAUGUUAGCUGUUCCUAGGCUAGACCGGAACUCACAGUUGUGGAUCAUCACGCCGUUACCAAACUGAGGAACUUCGAAGUUCCAAUGAAACUCGGACGAGGGAACCGAUUUGUGCCAUCCGAUGUCUUUCUCUGACGAUCGGCAAUGGUAGAAAACCGCGGGGUUUUUGGAAUUUUGCAUUUCGUUUUUUAUGAGUAUGGAAAAAUCAACGUCUCCUUUGUCAGCUGAGUUUACGGUUAGACUGAUUGCUUGCGAAACAAGGCACCAUAUUACUAGGGUUUUCAUUUUUCUCAGGCCGUUUCUUGUUUGGAUCUUCUCUCCAUUCGGCGGGUAUUUAAAUAUAUACAGCGUUAACAUUGAAAAAGUAGAUUUUAUUCAUACGGUUGGACAAUUAUAGAAAGGGCGUAAUAUGGUAUUUUAGAAAAGCUAAAUUUAUUGUGUUUGUUAUAUAAUAUACUAAUCUUGUGUUUUGACUCGGAUGUUCUUAUCACUUGACUUAUCAAUUAUCGGAUUCACUCACCAAAAUUCCUUCCAGAAGCACAAAAGUGCUUCGCUACUAAUAAUUUGUAAAAACAUUUAUAUAUAUAUAUAUAUAUAUAUAUAUAUAUAUAUAUAUAUUCUUAGGUUAAUAAUUUGUAAAACAUUUGGUACAAUCAAAUUAGGCUGCAAGCAAGCAAGGAUAGUUUCAGAGAUGAAAGAGCAUUGAUAUGACAUCUUUCGAUACCUGUAGUUAUGAUUUCGAUUCAUCAAGAGACAACCCAUCAAAUAUCUUUUGGGUUCAUGUUUUGAAUGCAAUAGGUAAAGAUUGGUUACCGCAAAAUAUACAAGAAUGUACAGAUAUAUGUACUAUCAGAACUCAGAAGCUGUCUGUUUUUGUAUUGAAAUGAGGAGAUUUCAGAGAUCUGAAGAAGGUUCCCCACAGAAAGCCUCUGGUUCGAACGUUCUUGCGGUUUCAUCAUUGUACGCUCCUGGUAUUGGCAUCGAGGAUCUGUCCCUAGGAUCUUUAUAUGUUCUGUAAGACGAUGCAAUUGGAGAAUUGCCAAGGUUUACGACUAGAAUGAGCGAUAAUCCGAGAAUGACUAGCGUGUUUUUCAGCCUGGCAAGGACUGGUUUUACCUGAAACCACACAAACACAAAUAAAUCAUUUCACAGAUCUCAUUCGAAACUUUAAAGCAAUCCCUGAAAUAUGAUACAGUGGACAGUAAAAAAAAACCAACAAAAUUCAUGGAUUUUUUGUAUGAUUGAUCAUAGCUUACCGAGAAAGAUCCAAGAAGACGGUCUCGCGCCAAGACUUGAGGUGUUUUCACCCAUACCUGUUUCCAAGAUUCCAUAAUUAAAGUGUAGAAAUUAACAAACAGAAAUGUUUUCUUCCACAGAGCUUAACCGAUAUAUAGAGAGAGACGAAUCUUAAACCUGACCAUCAUACCACCCAGUUUCUUCAUCUGCAAAAGAGAGAAGAAGAAGAAAGAAAUUGAAAAACAAAAAAGAAGCAAAACUUUAGAGACAGAUUGAUUCAUCAUAACAAACAAUGAAGAACCCAGCGCAUCCUAAACGUAAAGUUAUACUCACUGAUUCAUAAAGGUAGCUACGGAAAACAGAGAAAUGAGUAAAAUAUGAUAAUGCCUCACAGAUACACUUAUACACAUAUUGCAAUUUGAGAACAAAAGAGAAAUCAAACCAGAAAUCCAAAUUGAAUUUGAAAAUAGUCAGGAUCAUGUAAUUUUGCAGAAAUAGGGAAAAGUAAAAAAAGGCAUACACUCGACGGUGGCGCUAAGAAGACGAUUUCCGACGUAGGCCCAACCCAGAUACAUCCUUACGACAGCAAGCGUGACGACGAAGAUCCCGCUAGAGCCGGCGGCGAGUAUCCGCUUGACGGGUUCGUAUUCGGGUCCGACGGAUCCGAACCAGGAAACGGGUAACCCGACGAAAAACGCGAAAGAAGCGCCGGUGACGAAGAGCCUGGAGGAGUACUCGACGAGAUCUCCAGAGGCCCAGGAGAAAGGGAAAGAGGAGGAGAGAGACUGGUACUCGUUGAUUGGUUGCUGUUCAGGCGGAACGGGACAAUCGGCCUCCGGCAAAGGCGGUGGAGGUUGGGGUUCGGAGUUUCCGGCGCCGAAUUUGACAAGUGAAGAAGAGGACGGUAAGGGUAUAUUGGGAAAUAAAUUGUGGUGAAGGAAUCGGCGGUGACGAGACGGCGGUUUAAUGGAGGAUGGGAUUGGAGUGAAAAGGCGGAGGAGCACAGUAGCAGCCAUCGCAGCUUCCCAAUUUUUUUUUCUUGUGACGUAAAUUAUUUUCCAAUUUUCAGUUUUAUUUGUAUAUACUACAGUAAUGAUCAACCCUUUUUUAAAAAAAGAAAAAAAAAGAAGCGCAGCAAAUUAAUGGGACAAUUAUAAAGUUUGUACACAUUUGACAUAUAUCCUUCAAGGCUCUGUUUAAAUCUUAUAGCUGUGCUAUGAUGUCACUCGAUCAUAACUGGUCGGUGUGAUUUUUUACGUACUGCCAAGUAUAUAUUGUAUACUGGUAAUUAAGAAAUGUUUGGAUGGUCAUAUGAAUGUAACUAAAGAGAGCCGGUACUCUUGAACACCAGAAAAGAUAUAACAAUAUUUUAUAUAUAUUAGCGGCCGCUUAUUAAACAUAAUUAUUAAACUGGCGGCAGAAAAUAGAAACAAACCCAAAUUGACAAUAACACAAUGUAUGACAAACACCCAAUCUGCAUAUUCGGUAAUGAAAAGAAGCACAGAAGCCAAACCAGUACAACGUAAGAAAAGUGGACACACACAUAUAUAUAUAGACGCAUUCGAAGCUUAAAGGGAGGUCAAUGGCCAGGGUGGUCGAUAUUUGCCUCAAAGAAACCUUGGGGGUGGAGGGGAUGCAAAUGGGAUUUUAUACUUCUUACAGAAUGCCACGUAUUUUUUCCCGUUCGGGCACUUAGUACCAGGCGGCAAUGUUGGACGACGAGGAGGAAACUGAAAAUUAGGAGGAAUAUGAAUAUUAGGUUUUGGUUCAGGAAUAUGGAUUCCCGGAAUGCCCCUUGCUUGGACCGUCACUUGACCAGGAUGGUAAGUCUCUACUCCACCUGCACCACCCAAAACGCAUUACAGUGUCAGCUUUCAAGGUAAUUUGAUCAUUAAUUUUAGUGGUUAUUUGUUCUUUCUAUUCAGUUCCGAAAAAAAAACUCAAAACCAAACACCCUUUUAAAAAAACCUGAUUACUUAUAACGUAGACACAAUAAAGACUUCGGAAUAUCUAAAGACGAAAUGACUCACUAAGUUUCUGGAGCUCCCUUUGUUCGCCAUGUGGAAACACGAGAAGAAGAAGAAGAACGACAAGCAUGGAAGAGACUACGGAAGAUUUCAUCUUAAUUUGUAUAUUCCCUCUUAGUUUACUUAUCAGUGUGCCUCACGCUUAUGCAUUUAUAUAGAAAAUAGGGGGAUGGAAAUAAAAGGAUAGGUUUUCACCCAAAAACGUUAAAAGUCAUUAUAGUAAAUGAAAGUUAAAGAUAGUUAGAGCAUAAUAGCCCAAGAUGAAACUAGUGAAGAGAUAAGAGUGCGAGCGAGAGAGAGAGAGAGAGAGAGUUAGUCGUCUGUCACUUAAUUAUGGGUCUUCAAGUUUUGGUACUCUUUGGUGAAAAGUCCUCGCUGGCUGCCAUGUUUUGGCUUACUAGCGGAGAAACAGAGAGAGAGAGAGAGAGACGACUUAGUUGUGAGUGUCACUUAUGGGUCUUCAAGUUUUGGUACUCUUCGGUGAAAAGUCCUCGCUGGCUGCCAUGUUUUGGCUUACUAGCGGAGAGACAGAGAGAGAGAGAGAGACGACUUAGUUGUGAGUGUCACUUAUGGGUCUUCAAGUUUUGGUACUCUUCGAUCGAGACGACUUACUUGUGAAUGUCGCUGGCUGCCAUGUUUUUGGGUUUACUAAACGGUGAGAGAGAGAGAGAGAGAGAAAGAGAGAGAGAGAGAGAGAGAGAGAGAGAGAGAGAGAGAGAGAGAGACGACUUAGUUGUGAGUAUCACUUAUGGGUCUUCAAGUUUUGGCCGCCAUGUUUUGGUUUACUAGGUCAAGUGCUUUGCAUUGCAUUAUUUUCCCUUAUAACUUACUUUGGUAAUUUGUAUAUAUCAGGUACCAGAAAGACUGAAAGCGAAUAUAAACCAGGACCAUUUUAACGCCCAAUAUUGUAUCUUAUAUUAUUUCUUUUUUCCUCUCCUCAUGUUUUCUACUUUCUCUCUUUCCAGUUGACCAAAACAAUUGUACAUAAUAUCUAUCUCUUGGUCUUCGUAAACUCCUAAGAGCAUAUGGAUAAAUUGCAGAACUUUACUUCAUUUUCAUGUCACAUUUUUUCUCUCUUAUUCAGUCGAGUCGAUUUAUUGUAUUUCUUCACUGAAAAUUUGAAAUCAAACCCAUAGCCAGAAUCAAAUUUACCAAAAAUUCGAAUACAUAACGUAGAAGUUAUAUAAUUACUAAUUGAAUAAUCACGUAAAACAAAAUGUUAAAACUAUAUAUUUGUGUCCAUUUAAUAUAACCAAUAGUUUUAUUUUGUUUCAUUAUAGUGUCGUACAUUAUGAAUAGUUUAGCACGUUAAACUAAAUUUUAACAGUCGUAUAAAGAACCUAAAAUAACAUAAUUUAAACGUAUCAAAAGUAAUUAAUUUUAACCUCACAUAAUAAAAAUUUAAUAUAUAAUGUGAGAUUAAGAAGAAAAAUACGUAAACAGAUCACACGUCCCUGUGUCCGUUGAAUGCCAGUAUCUCUUUUUUUUUUUUAAUAACUUUUAUUAUGCUUUUACAAGAAUUAGCAGCAACAAUCCCCACAUGUUUACAAUUACCAGAUUAUGGGGAAAAUCCAUCCCACACCAAAAGAAAAAAAAAUGAAAAAAAAAAAUUGAAAACAGAACACCAUAUGAUUUUUCGUAUUCUCUUCAUCUCUAUUUUCUUUCCUUUUCUUUUUUUUACUAAUUUUUGUCGUUACAGGUAGCAAUGAUAAUAUUAGUAGUAAUAGUUACAAAGGGUUUUCAUAGGGCUUUUUUUUUUUUUUUUUUUGGUUGUAGAGCUCCCACUUCGAUUGAACUCCACAAGCUUUUCCCUAGCCCGACAAUCUUUCUUUCCUCUCAUCAUCUAACCGUAAAGAAGAAAGAAAAGAAAAAAAGCAAAAAAGAAAAAAGGCGAUCCCCCCACCAAUUGGCUCUUUGAACCAGACCAGGUGAAGCAACAGCUUCUGCCUACAUAUCUUACAUCAAAUUUUCACUUGUGUUCGCUCUGUUGCUUAUGUUUAGACCCUGAAGCCGCUUCAGGCUUCGCAUCAGUUGCGUAAACGACGGCCGUAAAUGUGGUUCCCUACACGCAGAAUAUAACAACACCUUAGCUUAGUCUACCCAAAUUAUGAUUCCAGUUAAACCCAAACACUGACCCACUUGACCGGAUUGUACCCACUUCUGCAGUGACUGUAGUCAGCACUACAAUCUGAACAUGGGGUUCGGAGUAAUCUUGGAUUCAUAUGAACUUUUAAGGGAAUUUUUUAUUUAUUUAGUAAAGAAAUGGACUUACAUUUGCCAACAUUCCCGGAUUAUCUGUGCAACGGUUGGAUCAAUAUCAUCAGGGAUUUCCAGGCGGCGAUUCUGGAAUCCCACAGCUCCAACAACUUGCAUCGGAUUUAAACCUUUCCAGGGGAUGCGUGACGUAGCUAACUCCCACAAUAUAACACCAAAGCUGUACACGUCACAUCUGUACAAGCACACCAAUCAAUACUUGUGUUCUAAUAGCAUUUUUAAGAUUCUCAUAGCGUUACAUUUAUUACUCACUUCUCGUUAGCUGGUUCAUUCCUCAACACUUCUGGAGCCAUCCACUCAGGCUGCGUAGACAUUAGCAGGCCAUUUUAUCAAGUAAGUUGCUCUGUUUUGUUUUUUUCCCAAAGAGAAUUCAUAGUUCAGAAAAAAAAAGGAAUAUUUCUAUUUUGAGUUAACACUUACCGUUCCUGCAGUUGAUUUUGAGGACAAAUAAGUGUGAUGUUUCAUGCGUGAUAAUCCAAAAUCACAAACCUUCACAACCCAAUUUUUAUCAACAAGAAGGUUUGGAGAUUUUAAAUCCCUAUGUACAACAGUCGGGUGGCUGGUGUGUAAGUAGUUCAUUCCUUUUGCCUGCAAUACCAUCAGGUAGAGAGAAAAUGUCAGAUGAAUUAUGGCAAAAUACACCAAGGAACUUCUAGUGCUUUCUGUUUAACCCAAUGCAACUCAUGUAUACCACAUCAAGUGCCAUCCGCAUUCGUCUCUUCUCAUCAAGCUGAUGAUUUGGUCGAUGGAGUAAUCUAUACAGACUCCCUCUGCAUAGUAUCAGGAAAUUCUAAACCACUGAGUCAAGAAGAAGAGAAAUAAUAAUAAACAGAGAACCUCAUGAUUAUAAAAGGAUUAAUUCAUGUAUAGAACAGGACUAGAAAUAAAAGUCGUAGAGUAGACCGACUGAUACACGAACUGUAAAAGAAGAAUAUGAGGACCAACCUUGGAAGGAACUCUGUCAGAAUGGAGAAAUUUGGUGGCCGGGUAACUGCUCCCAUGAAAAGAACAACAUUUGGAUGCCGUAACCUCAACAUUAUUUCAAUCUAUUGGAACAAAAUAAAAACAUUCAUAGUAUGAUUAAAGAGAUUAUAUAAGGAAUUCUACAGAUAAGUAGAUGCCUAGGAUUAAAUGAUCUGGAGUUACUUCAGAUUUGAACUGUGUCAAUGCAUCACCAGAGAAAUCUUGAUCCAGAAACUUCUUAACAGCCACUUCCUGAAAUGAAAAACACAAUCAGUCCAAGAUGUUUACGUAUAAAAUAGCAAUACUCUUCAUUAGAAACUGCAGAUUAAAGAUCAUUGCAAGGUUCAGUGAAUUAAGACUCCAAAACAUAACUCACAGUUCCAUUCCACUCUGCACGGUAAACUUCUCCAUAUGAACCUGCAACAAAAUCAGUACACAAAAAGAGCACAUUAAAUCUUGGAAUUCGGGAUAAUAAGGGGCUAUUCUAGUUUAUCAAACUGAAAAUGGUGGAAAAUUAGAUUUUAUUCAUAACUAUAAAGGCUAGAUAACAAUUCGUAAGUGUCAAGCUUCAUCAACAGUCUCUCACGGAUACCACUCUAAAUAUAUAAUAAAGUUUGCCAGCUUCUUAGGAAUCUAGUAUUUGAUAGUCCAAACCUUACCAAUACCAAUCCGCUCGCCAAUCUGGAGAUCUUCCCACAUAAUUUCCCACUUUGCAGCCUCACCGAGAAAUGGAUUAAUUCCUUGGUCAUGACUACCACAAACAGAAGGCUCCUCAUCAGCAGUGCUGAUCUCAAUCUUUUCCGAUGAAGAAACUUUACCCAUAUUAUCCACAUCAAAGUUUCUCUUUAUUGAAAAAUCGACCUCCACUGGUUGUUGGUAUGUCUCAGCUGUUGGAAGUGAGACAUUUUCACCAAUUCGUUGUCAGUGUAAAGUUGCUUAAAUGCACUAAUAGUAACAAGAAAAUAUAAUAUUAUACGGCAUACAUCAAUUAGCGGGUUAUCCCUCACCUGAGGUACAAAGAGCUGACAAUUGCAUUGCUGUGGGGUUCCUUUCAGAUUCUCUCAGUUGUUCAGCUAACGGAUCGACAACCUAUAUAGUGCAGAUGGAAAAAAAAAAAGACUCCAGGAAUCGUAAGAUAUAUUGUGGGAAAGAAUUAACAAAACUUGUGCUCCAAUAGUGAAAAGAUGUGUAUCCUAAGAUUACCUUUUCUGGGUAGCAUGGAACCCCCGAAUUCAUAGAAGUGCUACUUUCUUGGCGGAGUUCUUGAAGCAUAUUCUUCUCCAUCAAGUUCUGUGGGUUGACAUCCAUAAACAAAUCUGGGGGAGGUGAUGCACCACUUUCUAACAAGACGGCAUGUAAUUUCUGCGCAAAUUCAGGGUUCUUUGCUGCACUUAUGACGUACUUUGAGACAUUCUUAACUUUAACUUUCUGUGCACAUGUCGGUUUCCCAGAAAAUGGCGGCAAGUUUUCACCAGAUAUCUGCUGUGAUUGCAUUAGCUUUCCAAAAUCAUGCUCAAACCUCUCUGUUUGAUGUUUUUCAACAGCACAUAUGUCACUGUUUUCUUCAAGGUUUUCAGUGAGCAAAUUUGCCACCAUACCAGAUCUGGACUCCGUUUCCUCCAAAACUGAAAAGGCUGGCGUUUCAAUCUCUUUCUCUAGUACAGGGCAUGAAUGUUGCAAUGUGUCCAGAUCAUCAGGAAAUACUCUUGUAUCGGUGCCAGAAACUGGAAGAAAACUGCUUGGAACCUCGGCAGGGAUCAGAGCACCCGGAGCACCCAUUAAGUCAAUAAUGUAUUCACUGCAUGUGAAGAAUGAAUCAGGACUCUGCAAAAAUCGCUACCAUCGCAUAGAAACUAAGCCUAAUAUCAGAAAUCUAGAAUGAGAACAUUAGGUAGCUGAUUACAGCAGUCAAAGAAUACCUUUUGUCAUCUAGUUUAAUCAAGUUCACAGCCCCAUCAUCAGUUCCAGUGUAGUAGCUGCCUUUAACCAGCAUACAUGGAAGAUUAAUCCUAUCAGCAAGCACCUAGAAACAAGAAGAGGGAACUAGUUUAGCUCACCCUAUAUCUACUAGCAUUGACCAAAUAGGGAACUCAGUGAUGGAAAAGGAAUAACGCGUGUUGUCACUAAGAGCCAAAAAUACGAUAAUCGAUCAUGAGCAAAGCUAGAAACUUAUAAAAACGUUUUGUUAUAACCUUGAAAAGCAAAGCCCUGUGACGUGCAAGACCAACAUUAACACGUCCAAGUGGAAGAAUAGUAGUGUUUAAAGAAUUCCUUAGUUCAUAGCUUCGAAGCAUCCACCUUCUCAAUGCUUCAUCAGCAUUUUCAACGGGGCCACCCAUUUGCUCUACAACUAUAUUUGCAAUUUUCUGAGUUAACUCGCUUGACACCUGACCACGAGCAAAUUCUGAACAUUCCAGAGACAAAGCAUAUGCUCUCCUCUCUAGCUCUUGCAGUUCAGGAUCAAUCAAUCGGUUCACCAAAAUGACCUCAUAAUCGACAUUGUCUGAAAUGGAGAUCGCUUGAAGAUCCACGAGAAGUGGCAUCUUCCCCUGUGAGAGAGAAUUGGAUGUAAUCCCAUACACAUCGUAAAAACCAUCCCUGACUUUCUGGUCGUAAUUAAUGACCUUAUGUCCCUGCAAGAAACCAAAAAUAAACAGCAUGAUCAGCUAAAUUCCCCCAUUGAGAUAAUCAAGGCAGAAACCAUCCACAUUUGAAUAAACGUCGUAUCUCCAGCACAAAAUGAUUACUCGCAACCAAGAGAUUAACAGUGCAAGCAAUGGCAAUGAUCAGUUACAGCAAAAUCCUUAUUCCGCUAAACCCAGGCUAAUCGAACAAUCAGACUCCCUAAAACCCCAAACUCCAGAGGAAUCAGAAUAAUUAAUCUAAGCGAUAGUCAGGAUAUAGAGUAUACCCAAUAGCGGAGCGAGAGAAAGUCAACGGCGGAAUCUGCGUCGGUGACGGGAGCUGAAACCCCAAGGCUAAUCCGCUUAGCAGCAUCAAGCUGAGCCGUAUCUGCAUUCUCUCGCGGAUCAGGAUCAGACACGCUGAUCGCCAUAGCUAACUGGACUUGAUACUCCUCCUCCAUCAAAUUGAAAUCCACACCAUCCACAGCUGCCAGAUCACGGCCUACAGGCUCAAAUGUUUCCAUUCUCGGCAUUGUCGAGGAGGGGUUACCAAAACCAGAAGAAGAGACGGAAGAAGUCGAAGCGGGGCUAGGGCUAGAGCUGGGAAUAGGGCUAGGAUCGAUCAUCGGUCUAGUCGACUCGUCUAACCUGUGAUGGUCUCCAAAUCCGCCGCCGACGCCACUACUUCCGCCUAUGUGGAGCUUCCGCAAAAGAUGCUUCAUCUUCGACAUCGAUCGUCAACGACGAACUGAUCUCUCUUUCUCUCUCUAAAAAUCUCCAGUUUAUCUCUCUACAAAAUGAAGCUUCCUUUUGCUAGUUUUUUUCCGCUAAUUUUUUCUGAAAAAAAAAAUGGAAAUAAUAUUGUCAAAAGAUAUUUAAUUGGAGAUAUAUUACAGGAACAACAAAUACGUCCCCUCGUAAACGUCCGUUAAAAAAACAAAGAAAUAAAAAUUCUUCCAGGUUUAACAAUAAAAUAAAAUAAAAAUGGAUAAAUACAGCUUAACCUGCGCCGACAUCUUCGAAAGUAGAUUCCAUUAACAUGCGCACUCUUCUUCGUCAAGCCACCUCCACUUGGUAAGAAUAGCUUUGACUAUUUUACUCCAAGUACUCAAAAACUAAUUAAAAAAUUCACAUUUAUCUGAGAUGAAAAAAAAAAAAUUCCCAUUAUCCGAUCGCAAUUGUCGACCCAUAAACUCAUUUUGUUUGAUUUUAAUUCCAGUUGGCCCAAAAUAGAAGAAGAAGAAGAAGAAGAAGAAGAAAGCCACUGUUGCAAUGGUAAAAAUUAUGUGUAGGAAUAGUAAAUAAACCAGAGAAAAAAGAAGAAAGAGAGGAGACAAUUACAAUUAUUCUACAGUUAAACUGUUUACAGUCUUCUCUGUAUACCACCAAGUUCUUUAAACUAAACAAGAAAACAACAUUCGAUAUAUAAAAAUAUAGAUAUAUAUCUCCAACUUUUGUGAUCCGUUUGACAACUCAAUAGGAAGAAAAACUUCCAUUAAGCUUUCCAAAGCAUCUUCCCACUAAAGAGCUAAGUCUUGACCUUCUUGUCAACGAACAUGAAUUUGUAACCGGUAUGCAGCUCCUCCUAUAAUGCCAGAUUCUGCCUUGAAAGCUUACAACUUUUUUUUUGGCCAAAGACUUUUUUACCUUUCGAAAGGAUUUUCUGCUUCAGCAGGAUACUCAGGUGCAGCUACAGCUGCAUCAACCUUUUCCUUCAGAUUGAAUUUCUUUGCAAUCAUUGGCCUUACAUCUUCAGCUCCGAUUAAGCUUUCAAGGAAUGGGAGCAAGUCAAGGAGUUCUUUAUCAGACGGGUCGUUAAACCAGCUCUCUAUUGGCACCCCAUUCUCCACUUGGAACCCAAAUGCCUAAAACAUGGCACACACAAAAAAAAAGAAAAGGCCAGAGAGAAGAUUCGUCAUUUACAUAUAUUCCAAUGAGAUUAUGCAACAGCCUUGAGAUACAGCUCAGAGAAUUCUUGAUGAUGGUUACAUACAAGAAGUAAGACCUCAAACUAAGAACUUUUAGUCAUAUCAUUCUUUCUGUUAAGGCUAUAUUAUAAGCCUUCCUAUACUAGGAUGUGCAUCCUACCAAUCGGCUUUAUUUUAAAGCAUAAGAAUCGAGGAUCCAAUAUGUUUGUACUCGUUGUGUAGAGGGUUGAUAAAAGAAUGUAAUACCUGUGGAGAGUUAUCGACGAUGAUAACACGAGAUAAAUCACGCCCAAGGACCGACAAGUCCUUUAGGUAGUUACCGUCAAAGAAUACACAAGAGUCACGGUACACUCUAUGGCGAAAGAGUUUCCUCUUAGGGUCAAGCACAUUCAGAAGUUGCUCAGCAUAGAUACUUUGGCUAGCUGUAAAUAUAAUGAUCUCAAAAAGACGGGACACUCUCUCCAUAAACUCUUUGAGGUGAGGACGGCACCGCACAUACACCAUAUGCUCUUCUUCGUUAAAAUGUACAGGGAAUGUGAAAUCCACCUCAUCACACGGUUCUAGAGUAGAGUGCACAAGAGUCUCUGUGGAAACAAAAUAAAAAUAUGUGUUAUAGAUAUAACAGAAUAAACAAAACAAACUCUUUUAUGGAUCAUCAACUACUUAAACACUAAAUCAUGACAUGUUGUCUAUGGUUACACCACAUCUACAUACAGCAAUAACGAGAGAGAGAAACGAUUUGUGUUCCAUUAGAACCUGCAAAAAGAGGUAAUAUAACAACCAAACGAAUCAAGUGAAAAGUAGCCUUACCAUCGAGGUCUAGGACUAGAGAAAUAGGAGGGCAGCUUCGGGUCUGUUUAGGAAGCAAGACGGGCCUGAAAGUUGGGACAACAGAUGACAAGUUCGGCAGGUUCUUGAUAAACAGAUAAGGAUCAAACUCAUCGAGUUCUUCAUCCUCUUCAUCCUCCAUGCAUACCGAGGUUAUAAGGGAAUCUUGGCCACCCUCAUCGACACACUCCAGCUUUGAACUCUUCAUUGCUAGAUAAAUGGCAGAAACUGAAUCCAAGUUACAAUUUGAAUCUACGGGACUUGUAUCUAGAGCAAGCAAUCGAUCAUAAGGGUUCUGUGCAUCCAAAUCUCGAGAAGAAGCAGAGUCAUCGUCUUCCAUUAAAAACCUAUUAACAUCAACUUGUAACUGUAUAAGUAAGUGUAUAAACUUUCUCACCCUUCGUCAACAGGACUCAGAGCCAAAUGCAAUUACUCCACAAUCUCAAUUGUCCCAUUUUUCACAUUCAUACUCAACACACAACCAAUAAGUACAUAUCUACGAUUAAAAUUCUACUCGGGCAUAAAUCAAUCUCCAAUUAAAGUUCUCAAAAAUCAAAACUUUCACAGCUAGAGAUAACAGCCAGAGCUAAAG
rnacentral:lncRNA from 1 species